rnacentral:tRNA from 1 species
GUAGUAGGAGUAUGAUUAGUAUAUUUGUUUUCCACACAAAAGGUCCGUAUUUAGGGUUGCUACU